UACGUAGGGGGCUAGCGUUGUCCGGAAUCAUUGGGCGUAAAGCGCGCGUAGGCGGCCCAGUAAGUCCGUUGUAAAAGUCAAAGGCUCAACCUUUGAAAGCCGAUGGAUACUGCUGGGCUAGAGUCCGGAAGAGGCGAGUGGAAUUCCUGGUGUAGCGGUGGAAUGCGCAGAUAUCAGGAGGAACACCUAAGGCGAAGGCAGCUCGCUGGAACGGUACUGACGCUGAGGCGCGAAAGCCAGGGGAGCAAACGGG
rnacentral:rRNA from 1 species